rnacentral:rRNA from 1 species
GCGCGAAACCUUUACAAUGCACGAAAGUGUGAUAGGGGGAUACUCAGUGCUUACGCUUAUGGUGUAGGCUUUUGUCGAUCGUAAAUAGAUCGGCGAAUAAGUGGUGGGUAAGACUGGUGCCAGCCGCCGCGGUAACCCCAGCGCCACAAGUGGUUAUCACGAUUAUUGGGCCUAAAGCGUUCGUAGCUGGUUUGGUAAAUCUCUUGUGAAAUUGUUCGGCUUAACCGGACAGCGUGCAGGAGAGACUGCCAAACUCGAGACCGGGAGGGGUUAGAAGUAUUCCAUGGGGACUGGUAAAAUGGGAUAAUCCAUGGAAGACUACCGAUGGCGAAGGCAUCUAACCAGAACGGAUCUGACAGUGAGGAACGAAAGCCAGGGGAGCGAACCGGAUUAGAUACCCCCGUAGUCC